UGUCCUGUUCAUGCUCCAGGGGCUGUGGGACUCUGGACUCCCACUUCUUCACCUUUCAUUGGGAUGGAUCCUCUCUUCAGGCUCCUUCUGUGUGAACCUUGAAGGAUUGAGAAAAUGGAGAGAGAGAGGGGAGGAAGAGGAGAGACAGAGGGGCAGUUCAUCCCUGCCCAGAGCAUUUGGUGAACAGAAGCCCCUCAUCAUCAAUGUGGGCUCCACUGUGACUCCGUCUCCAGUCAGGCAUUUAUAGUGCAUUAGUUUGUGGAAAUAAAACAGAUCUGCUGCCCUGCUGGGAGAGAGAUGAGUCCCUAGAGAAGCAGGCCUAGUCCUGUGAAUGCCAUGAACUCCCAAGUCAGUCAAGGAGUGAGAACCAAAGCCUGUCUUUGGUCCAGAAGGAGAUUUCAGUCUAGGGAGGAAGAAUGAUGUGCAACACAAAGCCACCUCAUCUGUGACAGAGAAGAGCCUGAAUGGAGCCAGGCUCUCUGGGUGUGGUCUCACGACAGCUCUGCAGAAAUGGCAAGGGUCAGCAGGGUCUUGAAGGUAAGGGGCGGACCAUAUGCCGGAAGGGACAGACAAUGCAAAGCAACAAAGUGACAAUGUUAGUGUGUUCUGGGUGUAAAUGGCAGGUGUGUGAGGGUUGAAAAGCCUGUCUCUCUCUCUGCUUCCUGGCUGCCAUGUCUUGGUCUGCUCUUC